rnacentral:rRNA from 1 species
UGGGGAAUAUUGCGCAAUGGGCGGAAGCCUGACGCAGCGACGCCGCGUGGGGGAUGACGGCCUUCGGGUUGUAAACCUCUUUCAGCAGGGAAGAAGUCAGACGGUACCUGCAGAAGAAGCACCGGCUAACUACGUGCCAGCAGCCGCGGUAAUACGUAGGGUGCAAGCGUUGUCCGGAAUUAUUGGGCGUAAAGAGCUCGUAGGUGGCGGGUCACGUCGGGUGUGAAAAGCCCGGGGCUUAACCCCGGGCUGCUGCAUUCGAUACGGGUCUGCUGGGGUCCGGCAGGGGAGACUGGAAUUCCUGGUGUAGCGGUGAAAUGCGCAGAUAUCAGGAGGAACACCGGUGGCGAAGGCGGGUCUCUGGGCCGGUACCGACGCUGAGGAGCGAAAGCGUGGGGAGCGAACAGGAUUAGAUACC